AACAUCGCCAUAUGCGUUUUUGAUUCAAUAAAGAAGAAAUUUAAGUUGAACUCCCAGAGUUCAAAAAAAUUGUCUUGGCACUCACCCUAAAAGCAUAUUUAAGCUAAAUCUUGCCUUGGUGCAUCCCCAGCGUACAAAUAUAUAUUGAAAAAGGAUAGUAGGUGCACUCAUAGGUCUUUUUAAGGUGAUUCCUUUAUUAUAAUUGCAUAUU